rnacentral:rRNA from 1 species
GAUGAACGCUGGCGGCGUGCCUAAUACAUGCAAGUCGAGCGAACGGACGAGAAGCUUGCUUCUCUGAUGUUAGCGGCGGACGGGUGAGUAACACGUGGAUAACCUACCUAUAAGACUGGGAUAACUUCGGGAAACCGGAGCUAAUACCGGAUAAUAUUUUGAACCGCAUGGUUCAAAAGUGAAAGACGGUCUUGCUGUCACUUAUAGAUGGAUCCGCGCUGCAUUAGCUAGUUGGUAAGGUAACGGCUUACCAAGGCAACGAUGCAUAGCCGACCUGAGAGGGUGAUCGGCCACACUGGAACUGAGACACGGUCCAGACUCCUACGGGAGGCAGCAGUAGGGAAUCUUCCGCAAUGGGCGAAAGCCUGACGGAGCAACGCCGCGUGAGUGAUGAAGGUCUUCGGAUCGUAAAACUCUGUUAUUAGGGAAGAACAUAUGUGUAAGUAACUGUGCACAUCUUGACGGUACCUAAUCAGAAAGCCACGGCUAACUACGUGCCAGCAGCCGCGGUAAUACGUAGGUGGCAAGCGUUAUCCGGAAUUAUUGGGUGUAAAGCGCGCGUAGGCGGUUUUUUAAGUCUGAUGUGAAAGCCCACGGCUCAACCGUGGAGGGUCAUUGGAAACUGGAAAACUUGAGUGCAGAAGAGGAAAGUGGAAUUCCAUGUGUAGCGGUGAAAUGCGCAGAGAUAUGGAGGAACACCAGUGGCGAAGGCGACUUUCUGGUCUGUAACUGACGCUGAUGUGCGAAAGCGUGGGGAUCAAACAGGAUUAGAUACCCUGGUAGUCCACGCCGUAAACGAUGAGUGCUAAGUGUUAGGGGGUUUCCGCCCCUUAGUGCUGCAGCUAACGCAUUAAGCACUCCGCCUGGGGAGUACGACCGCAAGGUUGAAACUCAAAGGAAUUGACGGGGACCCGCACAAGCGGUGGAGCAUGUGGUUUAAUUCGAAGCAACGCGAAGAACCUUACCAAAUCUUGACAUCCUUUGACAACUCUAGAGAUAGAGCUUUCCCCUUCGGGGGACAAAGUGACAGGUGAUGCAUGGUUGUCGUCAGCUCGUGUCGUGAGAUGUUGGGUUAAGUCCCGCAACGAGCGCAACCCUUAAGCUUAGUUGCCAUCAUUAAGUUGGGCACUCUAAGUUGACUGCCGGUGACAAACCGGAGGAAGGUGGGGAUGACGUCAAAUCAUCAUGCCCCUUAUGAUUUGGGCUACACACGUGCUACAAUGGACAAUACAAAGGGCAGCGAAACCGUGAGGUCAAGCAAAUCCCAUAAGGUUGUUCUCAGUUCGGAUUGUAGUCUGCAACUCGACUACAUGAAGCUGGAAUCGCUAGUAAUCGUAGAUCAGCAUGCUACGGUGAAUACGUUCCCGGGUCU